rnacentral:rRNA from 1 species
CCCUAUGGGGUGCAGCAGGCGAGAAAACUUUGCAAUGUGCGAAAGCACGACAAGGUUAAUCCGAGUGGUUUCUGCUAAAGGAACCUUUUGUCAGUCCUAGAAACACUGAUGAAUAAGGGGUGGGCAAGUUCUGGUGUCAGCCGCCGCGGUAAAACCAGCACCUCAAGUGGUCAGGAUGAUUAUUGGGCCUAAAGCAUCCGUAGCCUGCUUUGUAAGCUUUCGGUUAAAUCCAUAUGCUCAACGUAUGGGCUGCCGGGAAUACUGCAAAGCUAGGGAGUGGGAGAGGUAGACGGUACUCGGUAGGAAGGGGUAAAAUCCUUUGAUCUAUUGAUGACCACCUGUGGCGAAGGCGGUCUACCAGAACACGUCCGACGGUGAGGGAUGAAAGCUGGGGGAGCAAACCGGAUUAGAUACCCGGGUAGUCCCAGCUGUAAACUAUGCAAACUCAGUGAUGCAUUGGCUUGAUGCCAAUGCAGUGCUGCAGGGAAGCCGUUAAGUUUGCCGCCUGGGAAGUACGUACGCAAGUAUGAAACUUAAAGGAAUUGGCGGGGGAGCACCACAAGGGGUGAAGCCUGCGGUUCAAUUGGAGUCAACGCCAGAAAUCUUACCCGGAGAGACAGCAGAAUGAAGGUCAAGCUGAAGACUUUACCAGACAAGCUGAGAGGUAGUGCAUGGCC